rnacentral:misc_RNA from 1 species
GAAAUGCGAUAAGUAGUGUGAAUUGCAGAAUUCAGUGAAUCAUCGAAUCUUUGAACGCACAUUGCGCCCCUCGGCAUUCCGUGGGGCAUGCCUGUUCGAGCGUCAUCUACACCCUCAAGCUCUGCUUGGAGUUGGGCGUCUGUCCCGCCUCCGCGCGCGGACUCGCCCCAAAUGCAUUGGCAGCGGUUCCUUGCCCCCCUCUUUGCGCAGCACAUUGCCAUUCGAGGCGGCGGCGGCCCGCGUCCAACAAGCUCAACCCCCCCGUCUUUGACCUCGGAUCAGGUAGGGAUACCCGCUGAACUUAAGC